AGGGUUUGAUCCUGGCUCAGGACGAACGCUGGCGGUGCGCCUUAUGCAUGCAAGUCGAGCGAAGCUUUUCAGUAGUUUACUACAGAAAAUGACUGAGCGGCGAACGGGUGAGUAACGCGUGAGCAACCUACCUUAGUUACUGGGAUAGCCCGAGGAAACUCGGAUUAAUACCGGAUAUUCUUAUUUAAUCACAUGAUUUUUUAAGGAAAGGUCAGCCGAACUAAGAUGGGCUCGCGUUCUAUCAGCUAGUUGGUAGGGUAAUGGCCUACCAAGGCUACGACGGAUAGCUGGUCUGAGAGGACGAUCAGCCACACUGGGACUGAGACACGGCCCAGACUCCUACGGGAGGCUGCAGCAGGGAAUAUUGCGCAAUGAGCGAAAGCUUGACGCAGCGACACCGCGUGUGGGAUGACGGAUCUAGGUUUGUAAACCACUUUCAGGAGGGAAGAAAAUGACGGUACCUCCACAAGAAGCCCCGGCCAACUACGUGCCAGCAGCCGCGGUAAUACGUAGGGGGCGAGCGUUGUCCGGAUUUAUUGGGCGUAAAGAGCUCGUAGGCGGUUCAACAAGUCGGUCGUGAAAGUUCAGGGCUCAACCCUGAAAUGUCGAUCGAUACUGUUGUGACUAGGAUACGGUAGAGGUGAGUGGAAUUCCGAGUGUAGCGGUGAAAUGCGUAGAUAUUCGGAGGAACACCAAUUGCGAAGGCAGCUCACUGGGCCGCUAUCGACGCUGAGGAGCGAAAGCUAGGGGAGCAAACAG
rnacentral:rRNA from 1 species